AUCUGGUCAAGUGGGAAUGCUGAAUACUUUGUACCAAAGGGCCGUGCAUCACAACCUUCAUAGUGAUGCCAUGUUGCUUCGUUUGAGUAGUGAGUGUGUGUGUGUGUGUGUGUGUUUUUCAAAACACUCCAGGCAGCUUGUCUGUGGGUGUGAAUGAAUGAAUAUGGUCCCCUGUGAGUGUCAGUGAGCGUAUGUCACUGUGUGUAGUGGGGGUGUAAAUAUGAACGACACAUAAUAUUGAAGGUGGCGAUUCAUCUGAAUCAGUUCUGAAAUUUAAAAUCGUUCAUAACAGUUUGAAAUAAAAUAAUGCUCUUAUUUUCAUUCUGGAUUAGUUGGUGUAUUAGUUGACCUGCCUGUAUUCCAGUACUGUGAAAAUCAUUGCUCGUGUGCUCCAUGUUUUUUUUAUUUAUAUAAAUCUGAAUCAUACCAGAACAUUUGAAAGUUCGUGAUGCACUGAAUCAUUUCCUACAGACUACAGAGUAAUGAAAUUGAAAUGUUGUUAGGGCAGAGAUUUACACUUCUGGUGUGUGAGGAUUUUGUUAGGCUGCAGGUUGAAUGGGAUUAGAGGUGGUGAUUCCUGCAUGCCACACAGUUCUUACCUGACCUGGAAUAAUCUGGUGGCCUUCCGGUUUGUUUGUAUAAUCUCACUUCUAACUCACAUCACAGUGGGAAUCCUCUCUCCUACCUUCACCACUCUCUCUGUCUCACUCUCUCUAUACUCACUCCUGCUCUGGCCUUUUUUAGUCUGGUUCCCUUGCUUGGCUGUUCUUGUGGAUGGAGUUUGGUUCCUUUGUUUAAUGGAGUUUGUGUCCUUUGCUGGAGGACUGGAUUGGACACUUGGACUAUAAUUCUUUGCUCUGGGUGACCUGAUAGAAGUUUUGUUGAUGCUGGACGUUUGGUGAAUGGACACUUGAGGCAAGGAUUUCAGGCUGAUGGAAUGUGACCUCCACCUUCAAACCAUCCAUGCAGUGAACACACACAUACACACAAAUGAUUGCAUGUGGCUCGGGCAUUGAGCAGUCUUCAGGCUGACACACAGAGAGCUUUGAGAGUUUAGGGCCUUGCUCAAAGGUCCAAACACUGGCAGGUAUCAAACCCACAAACAUGUCAAUAGUUUUUUUUUUAAAUAAAUUUAUUUAUAUUUUCUUUUCUAUUUAUUCCCGAAUUUACACGGUCAAUAACCAAACCCACUCAUUAGGACUCCCCCUAUGACUAGUAAUGCCCCAACACCAGGAGGGUAAAGACUAGCACAUGCCUUCUCCGACACAUGUAAAGUCAGCCGCCGCUUCUUUUCAAACUGCUGCUGAUACAGUAGUGACUUGGUUUCCAAUACAUCAGCUCACAGAUGCAUCGUGCUGAUCAACAUCAUGAUGUGGGGAGAGAGCGCCAUCAACCCACCCAGAGAGAGCAAGGCCAAUUGUGCUCUCUCUGGGCUCCGGUAGCCGAUGGUAAGCUACAUGAACAGGAUUCGAACCAGCGAUCUCCUGAUCAUAGUGGCAGCACUUAGCCCGCAGGACCACUCGGAAAUAACUAAGUAAAAAACUUUACAGAACUUUUAAAGGGUCUGUGACACAUAUGUCACUAAGGGUUCUUUUGGGUUAACUUUGGUAGAUAUGUACUAGAAACCUAUCUGGUAUUUGCACAGAAUUACCCUGCUGAAAAUGCCAGCUCAGGUUCAGCUAAGUGGUUGGAAAACUAGAAAUCUGGGUCUAUCUUACCAGCUCUUAACUACCAUAGUGAAUGUUGCAUUUGAUUUUGAUGUUAAAUUCAGUGUUUUUUCAUUUAUUCAAAAUCUUCUGCAUUGCGUUACUAAUACUAACAUGAUUCAAACUUUUAAAGCAUUAAAAAAAACAAAAAAACAUGCAAUUGUUUAAAAACCAAAAAUUGGUAAACAACCAGAAUAUAGUUCAUAUUUUAGAUUUUUCAAAGUUGCACUUCUUGCUUGGAUGACAGUUUUGCACAUCUUGGCUGGAUUUUCUCAGUCAGCUUUAUGAGGUAGAGUCACCUGGAAUUCAGGCUUUCAGUUAAAGCUGUGCUUUGCAAGAGAUAAUAACUUGAAUUUCUUGUCAUCUUAAUGUGUUUGGGAGCAUCAGUUGUAAAGAUGUGAAGAGGUUGAUAGAGUUGAUAUACAGUGAAUAGCCCUGUUUGUUUAAUGUUCUAAUCCAUAUUAUCGCAAUAAUUACUCAUCUAAAAAAAUAAAAAAAUACUUUAAGAAAUGAACGUCAGGCCAACUGGUUUUUAAGAACUUUGAAUGAAACUGGCUCUUAUCAGGACCACCCCAGGAAAGGAAGACCAAGAGUUACCUCUGUUGCACAGGAUAUGUUCAUCAGAGUUACUUACCAUCCUCAGAAACUUUUUUUUUAUUGUAGCACAAGUUGCUGCAGUGUCGUCUAUCUGCCAGCAGAUGACACUGUGGUCUUCUGUGUAGUCACACUCGGGGAACUCCUUUAGUAAAGGAGUUUUUCUGUCAGUUUCUGAAAUCAGAGACCUUUAUAUAUUCUGAUUUUGGUUAUUUCAGGCAACUCCAUUACAUCAUCAUUAGGUCUAUUGUUUUAUUCAUAGUUUUUCAAUAAUACCAGCUAAUGAAAAGCUGUCAGGCUAAACUUAUGCACUCUGCUAUUCUAUCACUUUAUCAUUUAACCUAUUUUCAGGUUUUGUCCACAAUAAAUGAUGACCACUACACUCUGGCCCCAGUGUGUACCUGCCACAACCCUGAAAGAUAAGUCACUGGAGAGGUGCAGUCUGCGCUGGUCUCCAUGGUAACGCAGGCAUUGGGCUGACAGGAGCACCGUGUCACAGCGAGCGGGGCUGCACUCUGCAGCUCCGACUCAUCCUAUUUAAAGAAAAUAAACGAGUGAGUGACUGCAGCUUAAUUCUGCCUCUUCCAUUUCUUUUCACGCAGCUCUAAGAUUAGAACAGCUGGAGGCCGCUGCAGCUCGAGUGAUUAGUGGACAUGAUCCGCACAUCGGCCAGCGUGUGUGUGCUGGUGUUUUGAGUAGCCGUGCCACCCUCUUCCAUUAUGUCUUGUAUUUAAACCUGUGAUUAUCAGGGGAAGGGGUGCCCAGAAGUUCCCUGAGUUUGUUCUAGACCUCUGAACAGCCCUACUAUCAAUAACUACUGGAAUAAUACAGUGUUCUUUUGAAAGCCAUCUUCCACUGGUGGAAAAGGGUGCAGGGUAAAUUACCCACUGAUCCAGGCUGCCACCAGACUGUGGUGCAGCACAUUGGAGGAAAAAUGAGGUUAAUGCUUUGCUCAGAAGCACAACAGCCAUGAUCAGGGGGUGAGAGCACCAACUGAUCCAGUUGUUUUGAGUCAGCAGGUCUCCAGGCACUACUAUAGAGCUGUAAUCAGCUGAUGAGCUUUGCCUCCACUGCCACAAAACUUUAUGGAAGUUUUGCUGUGUUUAGAUUUUACUCAUUCAC